GAGUUUGAUCCUGGCUCAGGACGAACGCUGGCGGCGCGCCUAACACAUGCAAGUCGAACGAGAGAGAGGGAGCUUGCUUCCUCAAUCGAGUGGCGAACGGGUGAGUAACGCGUGAGGAACCUGCCUCAAAGAGGGGGACAACAGUUGGAAACGACUGCUAAUACCGCAUAAGCCCACGGCUCGGCAUCGAGCAGAGGGAAAAGGAGCAAUCCGCUUUGAGAUGGCCUCGCGUCCGAUUAGCUAGUUGGUGAGGUAAUGGCCCACCAAGGCGACGAUCGGUAGCCGGACUGAGAGGUUGAACGGCCACAUUGGGACUGAGACACGGCCCAGACUCCUACGGGAGGCAGCAGUGGGGAAUAUUGCACAAUGGGGGAAACCCUGAUGCAGCGACGCCGCGUGGAGGAAGAAGGUCUUCGGAUUGUAAACUCCUGUUGUUGAGGAAGAUAAUGACGGUACUCAACAAGGAAGUGACGGCUAACUACGUGCCAGCAGCCGCGGUAAAACGUAGGUCACAAGCGUUGUCCGGAAUUACUGGGUGUAAAGGGAGCGCAGGCGGGAAGACAAGUUGGAAGUGAAAUCUAUGGGCUCAACCCAUAAACUGCUUUCAAAACUGUUUUUCUUGAGUAGUGCAGAGGUAGGCGGAAUUCCCGGUGUAGCGGUGGAAUGCGUAGAUAUCGGGAGGAACACCAGUGGCGAAGGCGGCCUACUGGGCACCAACUGACGCUGAGGCUCGAAAGUGUGGGUAGCAACAGGAUUAGAUACCCUGGUAGUUCACACCGUAAACGAUGAUUACUAGGUGUUGGAGGAUUGACCCCUUCAGUGCCGCAGUUAACACAAUAAGUAAUCCACCUGGGGAGUACGACCGCAAGGUUGAAACUCAAAGGAAUUGACGGGGGCCCGCACAAGCAGUGGAGUAUGUGGUUUAAUUCGACGCAACGCGAAGAACCUUACCAAGUCUUGACAUCCCUUGACGAACAUAGAAAUAUGUUUUCUCUUCGGAGCAAGGAGACAGGUGGUGCAUGGUUGUCGUCAGCUCGUGUCGAGAGAUGUUGGGUUAAGUCCCGCAACGAGCGCAACCCUUACUGUCAGUUACUACGCAAGAGGACUCUGGCAGGACUGCCGUUGACAAAACGGAGGAAGGUGGGGAUGACGUCAAAUCAUCAUGCCCUUUAUGACUUGGGCUACACACGUACUACAAUGGCGUUAAACAAAGAGAAGCAAGACCGCGAGGUGGAGCAAAACUCAGAAACAACGUCCCAGUUCGGACUGCAGGCUGCAACUCGCCUGCACGAAGUCGGAAUUGCUAGUAAUCGUGGAUCAGCAUGCCACGGUGAAUACGUUCCCGGGCCUUGUACACACCGCCCGUC
rnacentral:rRNA from 1 species